GGCACAGCUGGUGGAUCUCUGCUUCAGCUUGGACUGAUGGCCUGUGCAUGUGCUCUGAGCUGGUCAGACUGGCUCAUACCAAUAAAUCCAGCAAGAUUUGUUGGAAGGGACACAGUCACAUACAGACCUGUCUAAAUGGCUCUAGAGUUUCAGCUAGCUUUGAUGACUCUGGCUUGGAGAUGGCGCGUAACAGUCACUGCCUGCCAAUGGAGACUGGCCAUAAAUCCUAAAAAGUUGGCCCUAAGGAUUUAUGCACUUGAAGAACAGAACUUGCAACAUUAUCUUCUGGAGCACCUUCUAUCAACUUCCAGCAAUGUGUCAUUACCCAGCUAUACCAGUUUCAGCAGGGUUCUUAGUCCAAGCAACCAUCCCAUUCUAAGAGGGUAAAUACACUUAUUGGAGUGGACCUGAACUGUGUGACUACUCUAUUUCAGGACCUG